CACACCAAGCCUCUUCCAUCCUCCCAAGUCAUCUUAAUUCAUAAAUUUUACAAAACAAAGUUCUUUUAACAGUGGAUAACCUGAGGAGGUUGCAUGAGAAAGAAGCGCAAGAAGAUGAACAACGAAGAAGGAGACGUGCCCAACACUGAAGGCGUAGAGAAGCAUUAACCCUUCAAGUGGUGCAAGUGGUCGCAGCCAAUGGCGGAGGGACCUAAGGACCAUAAUAGUCCUUGGCCCACCUGCUUUUCAAAAAAAAAAAAAAGAAGAAUAGUAUCAACUUUUCAUUCAACCCAUUUUCUAGAUUCUUCACAUUGGCAAUUUCUCAAGGACAAGGAUUGUCUGCCCUCCCACUUCCGGUGCCGUUCCAUGCCCUCCUGUUUUGUGUGGUCACGGUUAAGUCAUGUCAACAUUUUAUAUUGUUUUUUUUAUAGAGAUAAUAAGACAAAAAUGAAUAGUAAUAUAAAAUGUUUGCGUGGCUUAACCGUGACCACACAAAACAGGAGGGCAUGAGAGGGCACUGAAAGUGGGAGGGCAGACGUGCCCAACACUGAAGGCAUAGAGAAGCAUUAACCCUUCAAGUGGUGCAAGUGGUCACAGCCAAUGGCGGAGGGACUUAAGGACCACAAUAGUCCUUGGCCCACCUGCCUUUCAAAAAAAAAAAAAAAAA
rnacentral:lncRNA from 1 species